rnacentral:rRNA from 1 species
AGUGAACGCUGGCGGUAGGCCUAACACAUGCAAGUCGAACGGCAGCACAGUAAGAGCUUGCUCUUACGGGUGGCGAGUGGCGGACGGGUGAGGAAUACAUCGGAAUCUACUUUUUCGGGGGGGAUAACGUAGGGAAACUUACGCUAAUACCGCAUACGACCUACGGGUGAAAGCAGUGGAUCUUCGGACCUUGCGCGAUUGAAUGAGCCGAUGUCGGAUUAGCUAGUUGGCGGGGUAAAGGCUCACCAAGGCGACGAUCCGUAGCUGGUCUGAGAGGAUGAUCAGCCACACUGGAACUGAGACACGGUCCAGACUCCUACGGGAGGCAGCAGUGGGGAAUAUUGGACAAUGGGCGCAAGCCUGAUCCAGCCAUACCGCGUGGGUGAAGAAGGUCUUCGGGUUGUAAAGCCCUUUUGUUGGGAAAGAAAAGCAGCAGGUUAAUACCCCGCUGUUCUGACGGUACCCAAAGAAUAAGCACCGGCUAACUUCGUG